AGGAAGUCCUUUUAAAGUCUAACACCGGACAAUAUGUUGUAAGGCAGAAAAAGAUAGGUCCUGAAACUACAGGUCAGUGAUUUUUUUUUAAAACCUUUUUAGAGUCCUUGAGCCUUUGAGAAUCUAAUGAAAUCCCUUAACCUUCCUCAGAUAAAUAAAUAGUGCCACAACCUUUUGCAAGUGACUUCAAGGGCUCCCUAAUUACCAUGCCCCAGGCCCAUCCACAGAUCUCUUUUCUCAGAGGUCCCAAAACAACAGGAACCCUAGACAUCCCGACGGGCACCUCUCUCGAGAUCGCAGCUCUUAAUUUUAUUUGGGGGAAGGGUGCUUUGCAGGGUCUGAUGAAACCCGCGGGCUCUUCCCCUGGAAAAUUCACACUCUUGAAACUGCGUCUUUAUUCUCCGAGGAUUCGGAGGUCGAGGUUAAUAACCCCUGAUCUCGCCGCAAACAAAUCGCUGCACGUUUCAAUUUACCCUUCACCCCUGGCCCCGCCCACCGUCCCACCCGCAGAUUGCGCGAGCCAAUCAGCGGCCGCCCCGCCCCGGUUACCAAGGCGUUGGAGGCACCCACGGACUGAACACCGGAGGGGCCGCGCAGCACCACCGCCCCCACUCGUGGUCUCAAAUGGAGGAUGCCACCUCCUGCAGGAAGCCCUCCCUGACUUCGCUGACUCCCUGGCUAGGUCUCAAUCACCACAGUGACCCCAGCACUACCCAGCAGAGGACUGGCCACAGGAGAGGAGCUUGAUGGUGCCGAGUUCCAUAUGCACAUGGAGUCAGACACUCUGGUGGGAAGUCUGAGCAGCUUAGUGGAUAUAUUUUUUUUUUUAAUUUUCCAUUAUUAAGUGAGGUGCUAAGCUUAGUGGAUAUAAAUAAACAAUAAUCUACAUCAAGCAGUAGUAAGUGUUAUGAAGAAAAAUAAAGCCAGGCUCCUCCUGACUGUCGAGGCCAAGGGCAGAGGGAGGCAGCCCAGUAAGGAGGCCACUGCAAAAGACCAGGUGAGAGCAGAUGACUUGAACCAGAGUGGCAGCAAGGGAGGUCGUGAGACACGGUUGGAUUCCAGAUGUUUUAAAGGCAGAGCGAAUGGGAUUAGCUGAUGGAUAGACCCUAUGUGGGUGCUCCAAGGUGUUUGUCCUGAGUAUCUGGAACGAUGGACCUGCCAUCAACUGGGUUUGGAGGUUGAAGGAGGGAAACCUCAAGUUUGGUUUGGGACAAGUUUAAGUCUGGAAGUCAGCUGAAAUUCCAAGCAGAGAAGAGUCCACCAUCGAAUAUACCAGUAUAGAGUUCAGGGCAGAGAUCCAAGCUGGAAGCAGACACCUGAGAGUUAUCAUUAUAUAAAGAUGGUGAAGCUAGUAAGUGACACAGAGAUGAGGUCAUUCUAUUGAUGACGAAACUUAGGCACAGAAGGGGUUAAGCAAGUCGCCCAAAGCCACAGUAAUGUUCACCUGUAAGGCCACUGGCAGAGCCAGGAUUCAAACUCAGGCAACCCGACCCCAGAGCCCACACUCUUAACUCCGGGUUGUAUUAGUUUAAGAGUUAAUCCACGAAAAACACGGUAGGUGCCUGGCACGCAGUAAACGCUACAUGUAUAAUAUGCCCCCACAUCUCAUGAAAGCACAGCUCAUUCCUGCAGCUCUCCCUCCCCUUAAUGCCGAUUCCUCACUUGCCUUCCACCUAAGUUAGAGCUUACAGCUCAUCGCAGGGACCUCUGUUCCUCGGCACUGCGCUGUAAUAACCUGGGCCUUAAAACCCCCUAUUAAAGCGCAACGCUGUGCAAGGGCAUCUCUUUAUUUUGCCAUCUGCCGUCCCUGCCUUACAACUUUCCCCAUUAAAGACCCUCCCAAGAAUACAGAACAUUCCCGACUCACAAACCUCUCUCUGCCUCUCAACCCUCACUCAGGCGCCCACCCGUGUUAAAGGGCACCCUACCCCUGGUUCCCAUCC